UACAGAGGGUGCAAGCGUUGUUCGGAAUUAUUGGGCGUAAAGGGCGCGUAGGCGGUGCGGUAAGUCUGUAGUGAAAUCUCUGGGCUCAACUCAGAGUCUGCUGCAGAAAACUGCCGUGCUUUGAGUGUGGGAGAGGUGAGUGGAAUUCCCGGUGUAGCGGUGAAAUGCGUAGAUAUCGGGAAGAACACCCGUGGCGAAGGCGGCUCUCUGGGACGGUACUGACGCUGAGACGCGAAAGCGUGGGGGAGCGAACAGG
rnacentral:rRNA from 1 species